UACGUAGGGGGGCAAGCGUUGUCCGGAAUCAUUGGGCGUAAAGGGCGCGUAGGCGGAUGAUUAAGUCUGUUGUGAAAACCUGGGGCUCAACCCCGGGAUUGCAUCGGAAACUGGUUAUCUUGAGGACAGGAGAGGAAAGUGGAAUUCCACGUGUAGCGGUGAAAUGCGUAGAUAUGUGGAGGAACACCAGUGGCGAAGGCGACUUUCUGGACUGUAACUGACGCUGAGGCGCGAAAGCGUGGGGAGCGAACAGG
rnacentral:rRNA from 1 species